rnacentral:ncRNA from 1 species
CCACUAGGGGAGCCGUCAGCGGCUGAGACAAGAGCGUAUCUUGGACCCUUUGAACCUGAUCUAGUUCGUACUAGCGUAGGAAAGUGGAGC